rnacentral:rRNA from 1 species
UACGUAGAUCCCGAGCGUUGUCCGGAUUUAUUGGGCGUAAAGCGAGCGCAGGUGGUUUAUUAAGUCUGGUGUAAAAGGCAGUGGCUCAACCAUUGUAUGCAUUGGAAACUGGUAGACUUGAGUGCAGGAGAGGAGAGUGGAAUUCCAUGUGUAGCGGUGAAAUGCGUAGAUAUAUGGAGGAACACCGGUGGCGGAAGCGGCUCUCUGGUCUGCAACUGACGCUGAGGCUCGAAAGCAUGGGUAGCGAACAGG